rnacentral:rRNA from 1 species
AGUGAACGCUGGCGGUAGGCCUAACACAUGCAAGUCGAACGGCAGCACAGUAAGAGCUUGCUCUUACGGGUGGCGAGUGGCGGACGGGUGAGGAAUACAUCGGAAUCUACUUUUUCGUGGGGGAUAACGUAGGGAAACUUACGCUAAUACCGCAUACGACCUACGGGUGAAAGCAGGGGAUCUUCGGACCUUGCGCGAUUGAAUGAGCCGAUGUCGGAUUAGCUAGUUGGCGGGGUACAGGCCCACCAAGGCGACGAUCCGUAGCUGGUCUGAGAGAAUGAUCAGCCACACUGGAACUGAGACACGGUCCAGACUCCUACGGGAGGCAGCAGUGGGGAAUAUUGGACAAUGGGCGCAAGCCUGAUCCAGCCAUACCGCGUGGGUGAAGAAGGCCUUCGGGUUGUAAAGCCCUUUUGUUGGGAAAGAAAAGCAGCAGGUUAAUACCCCGCUGUUCUGACGGUACCCAAAGAAUAAGCACCGGCUAACUUCGUG